GCGUACCAUUAGCUAGUUGGUAGGGUAACGGCCUACCAAGGCUGCGAUGGUUAGCUGGUCUGAGAGGAUGAUCAGCCACACUGGAACUGACACACGGUCCAGACUCCUACGGGAGGCAGCAGUGAGGAAUUUUGCGCAAUGGGGGAAACCCUGACGCAGCAACGCCGCGUGAGUGAUGAAGGCUUUCGGGUCGUAAAGCUCUGUCAAGUGGGAAGAACCUGCUUUGUGAUAAUACCACGAAGCACUGACGGUACCACUGAAGGAAGCACCGGCUAACUCCGUGCCAGCAGCCGCGGUAAUACGGGGGGUGCUAGCGUUAUUCGGAAUCAUUGGGCGUAAAGGGCGCGUAGGCGGUCUCUUAAGUCAGAUGUGAAAUCCCUCGGCUUAACCGAGGAAGUGCAUUUGAUACUAGGAGACUUGAGUAUGGGAGAGGGAAGCGGAAUUCCUGGUGUAGCGGUGAAAUGCGUAGAUAUCAGGAGGAACACCGGUGGCGAAGGCGGCUUCCUGGACCAAUACUGACGCUGAGGCGCGAAGGCGUGGGGAGCAAACAGGAUUAGAUACCCUGGUAGUCCACGCAGUAAGCGGUGAACACUAGGUGUAGCGGGUAUUGACCCCCGCUGUGCCGAAGCUAACGCAUUAAGUGUUCCGCCUGGGAAGUACGGCCGCAAGGUUAAAACUCAAGGAAUUGACGGGGCCCGCACAAGCGGUGGAGCAUGUGGUUUAAUUCGACGCAACGCGAGACCUUACCUAGGCUUGACAUCCCGGGAUCUUCUUGAAGAGAGAGUGCCUUUCGGGGAGCCCGGAGACAG
rnacentral:rRNA from 1 species